ACUACAGUGGAUUCCUGUACUUAGCGAGACAAAGUGAUGGCAGCCCUAGGCGACUGCAAAGGACCCAGGGCUGAAGAGCUGGUCUCAUUCUCCUCCUCCACACUAAGACGCCCCUCUCCUGAACCCACAGUAACAGGACUCUCUUGCAAGCCAGUCCGUCCCUUCCGGUCGGUUCGCCUUGCUCCUGGGACACACUCACUGUAUACCCAGUUUGCUCCAUCCUGCGGACCCCUCCUCCACUCCCUUCCCUCACGACCGCAUUUGGGUUGGAACCGCCAAGAGGUUUCUACGGACCACAUGGCCAUGCCUGGAAGAACUGAGGACUCCUGAGUGAAGAAUGCUAUUAAGUCACGCAGCCUCUAGGAAGGUUCCCAUCUAGGCGGCAGGGACCCUCCCCACACCCAGCAAUGGGCAGAAGUCCUGAGAGUGAGGCGGGGGCAGAUGUUCACCCCUUUGGCUUGUGAGAAAACGCCUGAAGGUCUUCCCUCCUGUCUAUUUUAAUUUUUUUUCCUAAAAAAUCUGGCUAGGCUCACAAAGAACGCUGGGGUGAGGCCGGCAUGGGAGUGGAGCUAAGGAUCCAGCUUCAGAGUCAGUGAAAUGAACUGCCUCCUCCCGCAGCUUGACCCGAUCCUUCCAGGUCCGGUGUCAUCUCCUAACUAUCGUGGCCUCCUAACUAUCGGAUCCAUCGGCUCGCCUUGCUGCAGACAUGGCGACGACGUGCCUCCUUCCUGGGUCUCCCGGUGGCUCGGGAAAUCCGCGAGGUCUCGGUCCGCAUCCGGUCCGCUGCAGUCCUUACCCUGCCCGGCGCUCCGCUCCUUUUGUGUUUUGCACACACCUUUCUGCUGAAAAAUUCUCCCUUCGUUAACUCGUAGAUCUUUGAGGACCCUUCUGAAUCCUAGACCUGGUUAUUCCUUCUUCUAUCCUCAGAGCCAAAGAAAAAAAAAAAGAACGUUUUUUCCUUCACAACAUUUCUCACUGUACUAUGCCUAUUUGAUUAGAUUCAUUUAGUGAAAGCUA